rnacentral:rRNA from 1 species
AGAGAAUAGAUACCCUGGUAGUCCACGCCCUAAACGAUGUCAACUAGUUGUCGGGGAUUAAUUUCCUUGGUAAACGCAGCUAAACGCGUGAAGUUGACCGCCUGGGGAGUACGGUCGCAAGAUUAAAACUCAAAGGAAUUGACGGGGACCCGCACAAGCGGUGGAUGAUGUGGAUUAAUUCGAUGCAACGCGAAAAACCUUACCUACCCUUGACAUGGUCGGAACCCGGAAGAGAUUUCGGGGUGCUCGAAAGAGAACCGGCGCACAGGUGCUGCAUGGCUGUCGUCAGCUCGUGUCGUGAGAUGUUGGGUUAAGUCCCGCAACGAGCGCAACCCUUGUCAUUAGUUGCUACGAAAGGGCACUCUAAUGAGACUGCCGGUGACAAACCGGAGGAAGGUGGGGAUGACGUCAAGUCCUCAUGGCCCUUAUGGGUAGGGCUUCACACGUCAUACAAUGGUACAUACAGAGGGCUGCCAACCCGCGAGGGGGAGCUAAUCCCAGAAAGUGUAUCGUAGUCCGGAUUGCAGUCUGCAACUCG